rnacentral:misc_RNA from 1 species
UGACUCCCUAGGCAUUUCAGUUCUCUGUGUAAAAUGCAACCAAAAUUUAAACCUCUUAAAUGGUCUGAUAAUAAAUCUUAUAUAAAAGCACCAUAUCAAAUGUGAAAAAUAUAUCCUAGAAUGCUCAGAACCCAUGGAUUACUCCAUUAUAAAUUUCUUUAUUUGCUACCAAAAUUAUUUCAGGUUUUUGGUGGGCUUAGAAAAAUUUAAGAAUGGUAGAAAGCAAGCACAUGGAACAUUAAGAAGGAAAAUGGGAACAAAGGAUGUACGUAAAAUCAGUCCCUUCAGGAAAA